UAGACUAUACUUUCAGGGAUCAUUGGUUUAGUUCAUCACUAGAGAAGUUUCUCUGAUCAUGCAGAGCACCCAAAACCAUAAAGAAGAGCUAUCCUCUCCUGAGAGGGAAGCAGUUCUAAGUGUUGCUUUUGCAGUGGUCUUUUACCACUAAUGAUCAUUCUUCUCUUCCCUUGAAAGAGGGAGAGGGAGAAGAUGCAGUCAGUGUAGU